GUGCUCGCUUCAGCAGCACAUAUACUACAAAUGGAAUGAUACAGAGAAGAUUAGCAUGGCCCCUGAGCAAGGAUGACAUAUAAAUUUAUAAAGCAUUCCAUAGUUUU